UACGUAGGGUGCGAGCGUUGUCCGGAAUUACUGGGCGUAAAGAGCUCGUAGGCGGUUUGUCGCGUCGUCCGUGAAAACUUGGGGCUCAACCCCAAGCUUGCGGGCGAUACGGGCAGACUUGAGUACUGCAGGGGAGACUGGAAUUCCUGGUGUAGCGGUGAAAUGCGCAGAUAUCAGGAGGAACACCGAUGGCGAAGGCAGGUCUCUGGGCCGAUACUGACGCUGAGGAGCGAAAGCGUGGGGAGCGAACAGG
rnacentral:rRNA from 1 species